CUGUAAUCCCUAACAGUUGUUCUAGCUCAUAACUAAUAAGCUCAUAACACUCAAAUGUCGUUUUGUAGUUGAGCAAACUAUAAAGUAUUGAGCUCUGUUGGCUUUUAUGCAACUUUAAUUGAAUAGGGCUCAAUAUUUUUUAGCUAAUUUGUUUGGAACGCUCAAAAAGUUUAAGAAGCAUAUAUUAGUGACGUUCUGGUGGGUGGAGUCUUGUUGCUCCCUCAGGAAAGCUGAGUCAGCCAUCUUGAAUUUACCUUGAUGCGGGGAAGAUUUGGCCUGCCCGUGUGGAUUAAGAGUCCCCAACUUCAACCUACAACGACCACCACCUUAAUUUUUUUCAUCAACUGCCCUAAAUUUGUUUAGAGGGGUAUUCCACUAAGCGAGCUCUACAAGUCAAGACUGGGCAGUGGGUCCAUGAAUAAACUGCCUCACUCCUGCAGGUGUCUGUCCAUACUUCCCAUCGUUCAAGAACCAAAAGAUGGCUGCUGCCCAGAAGCAUGUGCUGCAUGUGUAUGUUGAACGAGACACCGCCCUGAAACUUACUCUACUUGAGCGACCAAAGUCAGUGGAGGAGCUGAAAGAAAUAAUUCAAGAGAGGUUCAAGCCAAGACUGAAUGGGGACUUUAGCCUUCACUAUGUCCUCAUGGACACAACCUAUGCCCUAUGUCGCCAAGAAAUUGUUGGAGCUCCACUAGUGAGAGACGUCGUGGACAGAUGGCCAGCCCUACUUAUGGAGUCACAGGUGGUUGCAGAGUUCCACCGAAUCAAGAAUGUUAACCUGCGCACUCAAUUCUACAAGGAGCUGGACAGACACACGCCUAGACUCAUCACUUUGUUCCGAGACAAGGCCAUCAAGACUGGCAAGAUUGCAGAGGAGCUAGCAAAGCUCAUGAGAAUUUAUGACAUUCAGGAACAGCGUGAUGUAAAUACAAGAUGGGUCCUCGUCCUUCAUGCACUUCCUGUGUACCUGCGUGAAGAUGCCUCCACGUUAUUCAGGACUUGUGAUUCAGCAGAUGGUCCAGACCUCACUGACACUCCUGUGGCUCUGCUGACAGUUGUCACGGGUGACACUACUGAUUCGGCCCUCUUCAGUCCCGAAAGCAUCUGCAUUGUCGUUGAGGAUGAAAUACUUGUGAAUGGUCCCACAAAUCUGGCUGACUCAUUUCUCCUGCUCUUUGGGUACAUCUAUGCACUAGACCUACAAUACCCAAAGAAACUUGAGCUUACAUUCACAUUUAUCCAGAAGGUUGUGAUGUGCCUUGAGGACAACAAACCACUGAAAGGGCGUCUACUGAUGCUGAAGAAUGAUUUGUUCAAUGAGUGAAUCACUCAGAAUGGACUACUUGUUGAGCUGCGUAUUGAGGAAGCUUUUUUUUUUUUCCUAAUCAUUUGGCUCUUCUACUUUAAAUUUAAAGUGAAUGACUGCUCAUUUCGUGGACUAUUCAUGUUUAACGUUCUGUUGCCUAAUACCUUAAUGCACUGCCUUGAUGUUUGUUACCUAUGAAGUACAGCAGUGGAAACCAGUACAUUUUUUUAUGUAUUUUUAAAAUAAGUGAGCUGCAGCUGUCAAGGUACAGUAAGUGUUAAA